UACGGGGGGAGCAAGCGUUGUUCGGAUUUACUGGGCGUAAAGGGCGCGUAGGCGGCCAGCACAAGUCAGUUGUGAAAUCUCCGAGCUUAACUCGGAAAGGUCAACUGAUACUGUGCGGCUAGAGUGCAGAAGGGGCAACUGGAAUUCUCGGUGUAGCAGUGAAAUGCGUAGAUAUCGAGAAGAACGCUCGCAGCGAAAGCGGAGCUCUGGGCAACUUCUGACGCUGAUGCACGAAGGCUAGGGGAGCAAACGGG
rnacentral:rRNA from 1 species